rnacentral:ribozyme from 1 species
GCUAUGUUGCUCUGUAAUGGGAUGGGAUUCGAAGCCCUCCGAGGGAUAACACAGGCUCUCCCAUCCAACUCCUAUUCCGACACGUCCUCGUCGUGCAGAGUGGUAACAUGUGCCUGAACGUCGGGGGGGGGGGGGGGGGGCAACCCGACGCUAAAUAAAACGGCCACGUGGGCGCAGG